GGUGCAUUAGAUUGCUGUGAAAAUAUCCCUAAGUACUUGAGAAGUACUAAGAGAUCAUUCCUCAUCUAUGAAGAAGGGCUAGAUGCUAAAAGUGAGAGGAUACACUAAUGCUGAUGGUAAAAUGUCUACAUCAGUAUAUAUUCUUGAACUAUGUUGGUUCGAUUUGUUGGAAGAGUUCCAAGCAAUCAACCAAUAAAAGCUGAAUAUACUAUAGAUGUGCAGGAUGCGUUCUGAUUCUUAUGAUA
rnacentral:lncRNA from 1 species